UACGGGGGGGGCAAGCGUUGUUCGGAAUUACUGGGCGUAAAGAGCUCGUAGGCGGUUCAGUAAGUCGGGUGUGAAAACUCUGGGCUUAACCCGGAGAGGCCACUCGAUACUGCUGAACUUGAGUACGGUAGGGGAGUGGGGAAUUCCUGGUGUAGCGGUGAAAUGCGCAGAUAUCAGGAGGAACACCGGUGGCGAAGGCGCCACUCUGGGCCGAAACUGACGCUGAGGAGCGAAAGCGUGGGUAGCAAACAGG
rnacentral:rRNA from 1 species